rnacentral:rRNA from 1 species
GGACGAACGCUGGCGGCGUGCUUAACACAUGCAAGUCGAGCGGUAAGGCCCUUUCGGGGGUACACGAGCGGCGAACGGGUGAGUAACACGUGGGUGACCUGCCUCUAGCUCUGGGAUAAGCCCGGGAAACUGGGGUCUAAUACUGGAUAUGACUCCAUGACGCAUGUUGUGGGGUGGAAAGCCUUGUGCGGCUAGAGAUGGGCCCGCGGCCUAUCAGCUUGUUGGUGGGGGAUGGCCUACCAAAGGCGACGACGGGUAGCCGGCCUGAGAGGGCGACCGGCCACACUGGGACUGAGACACGGCCCAGACUCCUACGGGAGGCAGCAGUGGGGAAUCUUGCGCAAUGGGACGAAAAGCCUGACGCAGCGAACGCCGCGUGA